AGUAGCGGUGAAAUGCGUAGAUAUCUGGAGGAAUACCAAAGGCGAAGGCAGUCCCCUGGUCCGAUACUGACACUGAGGUACGAAAGCGUGGGGAGCAAACAGGAUUAGAUACCCUGGUAGUCCACGCCCUAAACGAUGUCGAUUAGCCAUUGGAAGGACCCCUUUUCCUUUCAGUGACGUAGCUAACGCGUUAAAUCGACCGCCUGGGAAGUACGACCGCAAGGUUAAAACUCAAAGGAAUUGGCGGGGACCUGAACAAGCGGUGAAUGAUGUGGAUUAAUUCGAUGCUACGCGAAGAACCUUACCUACUUUGACAUGGCCAAAGUUCUACCGAGAGGCGGAAGUACUCGUAAGAGGAUUGGCGCACAGGUGCUGCAUGGUUGUCGUCAGUUCGUGUCGUGAGAUGUUGGGUUCAGUCCCGCAACGAACGCAACCCUUAUCUUUAAUUGCUCCUAUUUUAACAGGCACUUUAAAGAAACUGCCAAUGAUAAGUUGGAGGAAGGUGGGGAUCACGUCAAGUCCGCAUGGCCUUUAUAGGUAGGGCUUCACACGUCAUACAAUGGUUAGAACAAAGAGCUGCAAAUUCGUAAGAAGGAGCCAAUCUCACAAACCUAACCUCAGUUCGAAUUGCGGUCUGCAACUCGAGCGCAUGAAGCCGGAAUCGCUAGUAAUCGUGGAUCAGAAUGCCA
rnacentral:rRNA from 1 species